AUUGAACGCUGGCGGCAGGCUUAACACAUGCAAGUCGAGCGGGGAAAGGUUGCUUUGGUAACUGACCUAGCGGCGGACGGGUGAGUAAUGCUUAGGAAUCUGCCUAUUAGUGGGGGACAACAUUCCGAAAGGAAUGCUAAUACCGCAUACGCCCUACGGGGGAAAGCAGGGGAUCUUCGGACCUUGCGCUAAUAGAUGAGCCUAAGUCGGAUUAGCUAGUUGGUGGGGUAAAGGCCUACCAAGGCGACGAUCUGUAGCGGGUCUGAGAGGAUGAUCCGCCACACUGGGACUGAGACACGGCCCAGACUCCUACGGGAGGCAGCAGUGGGGAAUAUUGGACAAUGGGCGGAAGCCUGAUCCAGCCAUGCCGCGUGUGUGAAGAAGGCCUUUUGGUUGUAAAGCACUUUAAGCGAGGAGGAGGCUCCUAUAGUUAAUACCUAAAGUGAGUGGACGUUACUCGCAGAAUAAGCACCGGCUAACUCUGUGCCAGCAGCCGCCGUAA
rnacentral:rRNA from 1 species